UCUGUGAUAUUAUUAUCAAACUAACUCAAACACGCUAUUCAUCAAUGGCAGAAUUCGAAAUGUGUGACACCGAAACCUUUGCAUUCCAGGCUGAGAUCAACCAACUUCUCAGUCUCAUCAUCAACACUUUUUACAGCAACAAAGAGAUUUUCCUUCGUGAGCUCAUCAGCAAUGCCUCCGACGCUUUGGAUAAAAUUCGAUUUGAAAGCUUAACGGACAAGAGCAAGCUCGAUGCUCAGCCAGAGCUUUUCAUCAGACUUGUUCCUGAUAAGGCUAACAAAACACUAUCAAUCAUUGAUAGUGGCAUUGGCAUGACUAAAGCAGAUUUGGUCAACAAUUUGGGUACAAUUGCGAGGUCUGGUACAAAGGAAUUCAUGGAGGCAUUGCAAGCUGGGGCUGAUGUUAGCAUGAUUGGUCAAUUUGGUGUUGGUUUUUACUCUGCUUAUCUUGUUGCGGAGAAAGUUAUUGUUACUACUAAGCACAAUGAUGAUGAACAAUACAUUUGGGAAUCACAAGCUGGUGGAUCUUUCACUGUUACUAGGGAUGUUAAUGGUGAACAACUUGGUAGAGGAACUAAGAUUACCUUGUUCCUCAAGGAAGAUCAGUUGGAGUAUUUAGAAGAGAGAAGGAUUAAGGAUCUUGUGAAGAAACAUUCUGAGUUCAUUAGCUACCCAAUCUACCUCUGGACUGAGAAGACAACUGAGAAAGAGAUUAGUGAUGAUGAGGAUGAUGAACCCAAGAAGGAAGAGGAAGGAGAUGUUGAGGAUGUAGAUGAAGGGAAGGAGAAAGAUUCAAAGAAGAAAAAGAAGAUUAAGGAGGUUUCUCAUGAGUGGCAACAAAUCAACAAACAGAAACCAAUUUGGUUGCGUAAGCCAGAAGAGAUUACAAAGGAUGAGUAUGCUUCAUUCUACAAGAGCAUUACUAAUGAUUGGGAAGAACACUUGGCUGUUAAGCACUUUUCUGUGGAGGGUCAACUUGAGUUCAAAGCUAUUAUCUUUGUUCCCAAACGGGCACCGUUUGAUUUGUUUGACACUAGGAAGAAGAUGAACAAUAUAAAGCUGUAUGUGAGGAGGGUUUUCAUUAUGGACAACUGUGAAGAGCUCAUUCCUGAGUACCUUGGAUUUGUCAAGGGUGUAGUUGACUCUGAUGAUUUGCCACUCAACAUCUCUCGUGAGAUGCUGCAGCAGAAUAAGAUUUUGAAGGUGAUUAGGAAGAACCUUGUGAAGAAGUGCAUUGAGAUGUUCAAUGAGAUUGCUGAAAAUAAGGAAGAUUACAACAAAUUCUAUGAUGCUUUCUCCAAGAAUUUGAAAUUGGGUAUCCAUGAGGAUAGUCAGAACAGAGCUAAAUUAGCUGAUUUGCUCAGAUACCACUCUACAAAAAGUGGAGAUGAGAUGACAAGUUUGAAGGACUAUGUUACCAGAAUGAAGGAGGGUCAAAAGGAUAUUUACUAUAUCACUGGUGAGAGUAAGAAGGCUGUGGAGAAUUCUCCAUUCCUGGAGAAACUUAAGAAGAAGGGCUAUGAGGUGCUUUUCAUGGUGGAUGCUAUUGAUGAGUAUGCUGUUGGCCAACUGAAGGAGUAUGAUGGAAAGAAAUUGGUAUCUGCUACAAAGGAAGGGUUGAAGUUGGAUGAGGAAAGUGAGGAAGAGAAAAAGAAGAGAGAGGAGAAGAAGAAAUCGUUUGAGGAUCUGUGCAGGACAAUGAAGGAGGUAUUGGAGACAAAGUUGAAAAGGUAGUUGUCUCUGAUAGGAUUGUGGAUUCUCCAUGCUGUUUGGUGACUGGUGAAUAUGGAUGGAGUGCAAACAUGGAAAGGAUCAUGAAGGCUCAAGCACUGAGAGAUAGCAGCAUGAGUGGUUACAUGUCUAGCAAGAAGACAAUGGAGAUCAACCCUGACAAUGGCAUUAUGGAGGAGCUGAGAAAGAGGGCUGAAGCUGAUAAGAAUGAUAAGUCUGUGAAGGACCUUGUGUUGCUUCUCUUUGAGACAGCACUCUUAACUUCUGGAUUUAGCCUGGAUGAUCCAAACAUGUUUGCUGGUAGAAUUCACAGAAUGUUGAAGCUGGGUCUCAGCAUUGAUGAGGAAGAGACUGGUGGAGAUGAAGACAUGCCUCCAAUGGAGGAGGAAGUAGGCGCUGAAGAGAGCAAGAUGGAGGAGGUUGAUUAAGGAGUCACCACUCACCAAUGGUCUUUAUGUUUGUGUCAGUUGUUUAUUGCAGGAAAAAACUGUCUUUGGCAUGUUAUCAAGUGGUAUCAAAUGUGCUUUUGGUGUGCAUCACCUAAUUUUGUAGUAUAAAUAAAUUUUGACUUUCUUAUUUCUUUUUAUUAGCAAACAAAUUAGAAAUUUGUUGGGAUGGUAGG